rnacentral:misc_RNA from 1 species
GGAGAUGGAGGAUUCAGAAGGAGAGGAAAUAUUUGAAUCUGAGGAGAUAACCAAUGAUGAAAAUGAGGAGAUGGAUAAAGUUGCAUUGGAAGACUCUUAUGUUCAACAUGUACCUUAUACACAUGGUAAUUCAAAAGGAAAUUCUUGUAGCAUUACUGAAAGCCAUGCUACUAGGUUUGACAAAGCAACGGAUGACCAGCCCAGUUCUCU